rnacentral:rRNA from 1 species
CCUACGGGGGGCAGCAGUCGAGAAUCAUUCACAAUGGGGGAAACCCUGAUGGUGCGACGCCGCGUGGGGGAAUGAAGGUCUUCGGAUUGUAAACCCCUGUCAUGGGGGAGAAAAUUAAAAAGAUAGUACCACAAGAGGAAGAGACGGCUAACUCUGUGCCAGCAGCCGCGGUAAUACAGAGGUGUCAAGCGUUGUUCGGAAUCACUGGGCGUAAAGGGUGCGUAGGCUGUUUCGUAAGUCGUGUGUGAAAGGCGCGGGCUCAACCCGCGGACGGCACAUGAUACUGCGAGACUAGAGUAAUGGAGGGGGAACCGGAAUUCUCGGUGUAGCAGUGAAAUGCGUAGAUAUCGAGAGGAACACUCGUGGCGAAGGCGGGUUCCUGGACAUUAACUGACGCUGAGGCACGAAGGCCAGGGGAGCGAAAGGGAUUAGAUACCCGUGUAGUC